rnacentral:rRNA from 1 species
UACAGAGGUCCCAAGCGUUGUUCGGAUUCACUGGGCGUAAAGGGUGCGCAGGUGGUCGGGUAAGUCUGACGUGAAAUCCCGCAGCUUAACUGCGGAAUGGCAUUGGAUACUAUUCGGCUAGAGGGUUGGAGGGGGGACUGGAAUUCUCGGUGUAGCAGUGAAAUUCGUAGAUAUUCGCAAGAACACCAGUGGCGAAGGCGGCUCACUGGCCCGGUACUGACGCUGAGGUGCGAAAGCGUGGGGAGCAAACAGG